GACGAACGCUGGCGGCGUGCCUAACACAUGCAAGUCGAACGAUGAAGAAGAGAAACGCGAACUUCGGUUCAAAUUUCACUUCGGAUUAGUGGCAGACGGGUGAGUAACGCGUGAGCAACCUACCUCUUACAAAGGGAUAGCCUCGGGAAACCGUGAUUAAUACCAUAUGACACAUUCAUAAGGCAUCUUAAGAAUGUUAAAGCUACGGCGGUAAGAGAUGGGCUCGCGUCCCAUUAGCUAGUUGGUGAGGUAACGGCCCACCAAGGCGACGAUGGGUAACCGGACUGAGAGGGUGAACGGUCACAUUGGAACUGAGACACGGUCCAAACUCCUACGGGAGGCAGCAGUGGGGAAUAUUGCACAAUGGAGGGAACUCUGAUGCAGCGACGCCGCGUGAGCGAUGAAGGAAUUCGUUUCGUAAAGCUCUGUUCUAUGGGAAGAAAAGGACUGUACCAUAGGAGAAAGCCCCGGCUAAAUACGUG
rnacentral:rRNA from 1 species